UUGUUAAUGGUGCCUGAUUGACAACCCUGUACUCUGACAUUACAUACCAGCACAGACAGUGGCAGUGCAAGCUUCCUCACAGUGCUGUGCCAAUGUGCUACAAUCCUCAUUUAGCUACACUGUCUCCAAGAAUGAGAGAGUAGUUCAGUUUCCAAUGUCUAGUCCUUGCUCUU
rnacentral:sRNA from 1 species